CUGCGAAUGGCUCAUUAUAUAAGUUAUCGUUUAUUUGAUAGUAUCUUGCUACUUGGAUAACCGUGGUAAUUCUAGAGCUAAUACAUGCUAAAAAUCCCGACUUCGGAAGGGAUGUAUUUAUUAGAUUAAAAACCAAUGCCCUCUGGGCUCUCUUGGUGAAUCAUGAUAACUUCUCGAAUCGCAGGGCCUUGCGCCGGCGAUGGUUCAUUCAAAUUUCUUCCCUAUCAACUUUCGAUGUUUGGGUAGUGGCCAAACAUGGUUGCAACGGGUAACGGAGGGUUAGGGCUCGACCCCGGAGAAGGAGCCUGAGAAACGGCUACUACAUCCAAGGAAGGCAGCAGGCGCGCAAAUUACCCAAUCCCGAUCCGGGGAGGUAGUGACAAUAAAUACUGAUACAGGGCUCUUUUGGGUCUUGUAAUUGGAAUGAGUACAAUUUAAAUCCCUUAACGAGGAACAAUUGGAGGGCAAGUCUGGUGCCAGCAGCCGCGGUAAUUCCAGCUCCAAUAGCGUAUAUUAAAGUUGUUGUGGUUAAAAAGCUCGUAGUUGAACCUUGGGCCUGGCUGGCCGGUCCGCCUCACCGCGUGCACUGGUCCGGCCGGGCCUUUCCCUCUGUGGAACCCCAUGCCCUUCACUGGGUGUGGCGGGGAAACAGGACUUUUACUUUGAAAAAAUUAGAGUGCUCCAGGCAGGCCUAUGCUCGAAUACAUUAGCAUGGAAUAAUGAAAUAGGACGUGCGGUUCUAUUUUGUUGGUUUCUAGGACCGCCGUAAUGAUUAAUAGGGACAGUCGGGGGCAUCAGUAUUCAAUUGUCAGAGGUGAAAUUCUUGGAUUUAUUGAAGACUAACUACUGCGAAAGCAUUUGCCAAGGAUGUUUUCAUUAAUCAGGAACGAAAGUUAGGGGAUCGAAGACGAUCAGAUACCGUCGUAGUCUUAACCAUAAACUAUGCCGACUAGGGAUCGGACGAUGUUAUUUUUUGACUCGUUCGGCACCUUACGAGAAAUCAAAGUGCUUGGGCUCCAGGGGGAGUAUGGUCGCAAGGCUGAAACUUAAAGAAAUUGACGGAAGGGCACCACCAGGGGUAAACCUGACCUGUGAAGCCGCAGUCAACUCUGCUCCAGAAAGCCGCCCGAAAGGGUCGGUGGUGUUCCUAGGGGAGAGCUCUCCCCUAAACUAAUGGCUAGUCCUGCCGCCCGCGGCAGGGCGACACCCUCAAACUGACGGGGAACUCCUAAAGCCCUCGCUCCGGACAGGCGUCGGGAAACCGACGGCCUGCUCACCAGGCUAACGACCUCGGGUAUCGGAAGCAACGCGAGAGGAUGCUACAAUGGACAAUCCGCAGCCAAGCCCCUACGGUGCGGCCUCUACGGGGGUCGCAUACGGGGAAGGUUCAGAGACUUGACGGGGGUGGGUGGCGCGGGCUCUUGGGGUGCAAGCCGCGUGCUUGCUUGCAGGCCCAGGCGCCCGCCGCUGCCUAAGAUAAAGUCCGGGCGUGCGCGAAAGCGUGCGCGGCAACCACGCAACCCGCCGUUUCCAGCGGGUGCGAGGCCCCAGAAGUAAAAACAACCGGGAGCCUGCGGCUUAAUUUGACUCAACACGGGGAAACUCACCAGGUCCAGACACAAUGAGGAUUGACAGAUUGAGAGCUCUUUCUUGAUUUUGUGGGUGGUGGUGCAUGGCCGUUCUUAGUUGGUGGAGUGAUUUGUCUGCUUAAUUGCGAUAACGAACGAGACCUUAACCUGCUAAAUAGCCCGUAUUGCUUUGGCAGUACGCCGGCUUCUUAG
rnacentral:rRNA from 1 species